AGGUGUGCGGAAAAACACGGCUUCUGCUGGAGAUGGAAAAAGGACUCUGGGGAGGACAAGAUGCCUCAUGUCAAAGCAACAAGGUUCCAGUGAAGAGCUGCAGGCCUCAGAGGCAGUUUAUUUCAUCAAAAAGAUCGGAAGCCUAAAAACAGCAUUGUUAGGGAACUGGCAGCUCAAGACAAAGAAGCCGAACCAGAAGAGGGCACUCUUACCACAGAG
rnacentral:lncRNA from 1 species